rnacentral:rRNA from 1 species
CCAGCGGCGAUGCUACGCCGCAUGGGGAAUGGUUCGGCUAGAGCGCUGAAGAAGGUCGUGUCAAGCUGCGAUAAGCGUCGGGUAGGUGCAAGAAGCCUAUGAUCCGACGAUCACCGAAUGGGACUUCCUAUUCUUCGGAAUGAUCAGUAAUGAUCGGGAACGCGGGGGAUUGAAGCAUCUUAGUACCCGCAGGAAAAGAAAUCAAUCGAGAUGCCGUUAGUAAAGGCGAUCGAACACGGUAUAGGGCAAACUGAAUCCCUUAUGGAAACGUAAGGGAGAUGUGGUGUUGCAGGCUCUUUUAUUCCUAAGUCGAAAGAUCCAAAGUUGACUGGAAAGUCACGCCAUAGAGGGUGAUAGCCCCUUAGGAGAAGGUCGAUAUGGAAAUUGAAGAUGUCCUUGAGUAACGUGCGUUGGAUAUCGCGCGUGAAGCUGGGAGACAUUCACUUCCAACCCUAAAUACGUCUCUAGUCCGAUAGCGUAGUAGUAGUGUGAACGAAAACUGAAAAGUACCCUUAACGGGAGGUUAAAAGACCUGAAACCAUGCGGUUAUAGAUUUAUAUAGCAUCAAAGGAAAGAAACCAAUUUUGGUGGACCAGUGUUAUAUUAUUCGUUUAGAAAAACGAUCCAUGGAGUUCUGAUCAUUGGCGAGGUUAACUAUUCAAUUAGGAAGCCGAAGGGAAACCGAUUGCCCGCAAUUUUUAUGAGGGGCAAGGUGUGCUCGCCUGGAGUCAAUGGUGCGGAUACCCGAAGCCGGUCGAUCUAUGCCUGAGCAGGAUGAAGCCUCUCGAAGGGGAGGUGGAGGUCCGAACCAGUACUGAUGUGCAAAUCGUUUGGAUGACUUGGGUAUAGGGGUGAAAGGCCAAUCUAGGCCGGAAAUAGCUGGUUCCCCCUGAAACUAGUCGCAGCUAGAUCUCGAUUGAGAUCGAACAUGAGGUAGAGCACUGAUUGAGCGUUUAGGGGAAGAAAUUCCUCGGCGUUCUGUCAAACUCCGAACAUGUGUUCAUCGUAGACGUCGGGAGCAAGGCCAUCCGGGGUAAGCUUGAUGGCCAUAAGGGAAACAACCCAGACUAAAGUUAAGGUCCCUAAGUUUCGGUCAAGUGUAAUAUGAAAUGGCGUCGGCAGUCCAAGACAACCGGGAGGUGGGCUUAGAAGCAGCCAUCCUUUAAAGAUAGCGUAACAGCUCACCGGUCGAGAUUGUGGGCCCAGAAAAUGGACGGGGCUAAACCGAACACCGAUACUUUAGAGUGCAGAAAUGUAAUCUGGUAAGGGGGCGUGGUGCAUGGGCAGAAGUGGGGCCGUGAGGUCCUGUGGACCGUGUACCAACGAGGAUCAUGGAGAGAGUAGCAGCAAAGCACGGUGAGAAUCCGUGUCGCCGCAGG